UCGGGUAUGGUGUAACGGCUAACAUUGCCGCCUCUCAUCGCCUCUCCUUGGAUAUGGUACGCGGCAGCUCGGGGUUCGAUUCCCCGUACCCGAA